rnacentral:rRNA from 1 species
GAUGAACGCUGGCGGCGUGCCUAAUACAUGCAAGUCGAGCGAACAGACGAGGAGCUUGCUCCUCUGACGUUAGCGGCGGACGGGUGAGUAACACGUGGAUAACCUACCUAUAAGACUGGGAUAACUUCGGGAAACCGGAGCUAAUACCGGAUAACAUGUUGAACCGCAUGGUUCAACAGUGAAAGACGGUUUUGCUGUCACUUAUAGAUGGAUCCGCGUCGCAUUGGCUAGUUGGUAAGGUAACGGCUUACCAAGGCAACGAUGCGUAGCCGACCUGAGAGGGUGAUCGGCCACACUGGAACUGAGACACGGUCCAGACUCCUACGGGAGGCAGCAGUAGGGAAUCUUCCGCAAUGGGCGAAAGCCUGACGGAGCAACGCCGCGUGAGUGAAGAAGGUCUUCGGAUCGUAAAACUCUGUUAUUAGGGAAGAACAAAUGUGUAAGUAACUAUGCACGUCUUGACGGUACCUAAUCAGAAAGCCACGGCUAACUACGUG